UGAAAAGCCCGCUCGCCGGAAGACCAAGGGUUCCUGUCCAACGUUAAUCGGGGCAGGGUGAGUCGACCCCUAAGGCGAGGCUGAAAAGCGUAGUCGAUGGGAAACAGGUUAAUAUUCCUGUACUUGGUGUUACUGCGAAGGGGGGACGGAGAAGGCUAGGCUGGCCGGGCGACGGUUGUCCCGGUUUAAGCGUGUAGGGGGUGUGACCUGGUAAAUCCGGUUGCAUACUAACCCUGAGGCGUGAUGACGAUGCACUACGGUGCAGAAGUAGUUGAUGCCCUGCUUCCAGGAAAAGCCUCUAAGCUCCAGGUAACAUUAAAUCGUACCCCAAACCGACACAGGUGGUCAGGUAGAGAAUACCAAGGCGCUUGAGAGAACUCGGGUGAAGGAACUAGGCAAAAUGGUGCCGUAACUUCGGGAGAAGGCACGCUGGCAUGUAGGUGAAGUCCCUUGCGGA
rnacentral:rRNA from 1 species